rnacentral:rRNA from 1 species
GACGUAGGGUGCGAGCGUUGUCCGGAUUUAUUGGGCGUAAAGAGCUCGUAGGCGGCUCGUCGCGUCAGCUGUGAAAACCCGCAGCUUAACUGUGGGCUUGCAGCUGAUACGGGCGGGCUAGAGUUCGGUAGGGGAGACUGGAAUUCCUGGUGUAGCGGUGAAAUGCGCAGAUAUCAGGAGGAACACCAAUAGCGAAGGCAGCUCGCUGGGACGGUAUUGACGCUGAGGCGCGAAAGCGUGGGGAGCAAACAGG